AAACAUCUUCUCUGCAAGGAAUUGUAAGGCCACCCAUUGGAUGAUCAUAUCCAAAUUCUUCCUCUGCUUGCCUCAACAAGUCUUGAAAUGAAGGUUGGUUCAAGUAUGACAAGGGGACAACAAACCGCUUCAUUUCCUCUCCAACGUACACUGCAAGAUAGCCCUUUGGGAUAUUUGAUACUUUAGAUGAUGUUUGGCUACUGCUUAAUGAUGCCCGUCUAAUAGCUGCAGGUAAACGGAAACCCAUUUCAAAUGUUUUGAAUUUGAAGAACAAGCUAUGUUUCUCGAUCGGAUGUAAGAAAAAGUUAUAUAAGUUUGAUUGCUUGAGUGAUUUGUGAUGGUUGUGAAGGAGGACACUAUAUUUAUAGAUUUCAAGAGUUUUUUGAAAUCCCUUUGCUAGAGAAAUAAUUGUUAAAAUGAUGGGGGCCAAGUGAUGAGAGAGGUCACAUGGUGUUGUCUUAGAUUCCUUUGUCAAGGAUCAAUAAGUUCAGUAAGAGUGCAAACCCCACCUUUGAAUGAAAGGCUCAUGUUAAACUCAAUAGUUGUAUAAUGCCUAUUCAUUUCAGACAUGCAUCAGACAUGGCACAUGUUCUAUUCAUAUUGAUAACACAACUUCAUGGCAGUGUUCAAUAGUUGUAUGAGAAAAAUAUCUGUCAUACAGCAACACACUAUUUACGACUUGUGCAUAAUUAUUCAAGGGUCUAGUUGAAGACAAUCAGACUAUGGUUAACAAGAGAUCACAUGAUACUGUCUAUUGGUCUUUAUCAAAGAUUGAAUGACUGCUUAUGAAUGGAGAGAGAGUAAUUAAAUGCAUUUCUGCUUAUGAAUACAACUGUAGGUGGCCUACAAAACCAGUUUAGCAGACAUAUAGACAGCAAUGCCUGUGGUCAAUUGUAAUGGACUUAAAAGGAGGAUAGAAACCCAAGUUUUGUUUUGGUCCUUAAUAGUACAAGAUUGGCUGCAUAUAUUGGACCAUACUGACCAAGAAUUCGGUUACUGUCAUCCAAUGGGUGGUCUUACGAUUCCCUGCAAAGAAGAUGUCUUCUUACAUACAGCUUCUCACUUGAACAGCUUGUAACUACUAAUUCUUAAUGCAAAAAAGUCAUGAAUAGUCGUCAAAAAACAUAGAAUAGGGUAGGAUUGACUAGUUUAGACUUUAGACAUUUUUGUCCAUUUUGUUGUUUCCUCUUAAGUGGAAAUCUGAAAUAUUGUGAACCUUACGAAAUUAUAUUAUUUUGAAUUCGUCUCNNNNNNNNNNNNNNNNNNNNNNNNNNNNNNNNNNNNNNNNNNNNNNNNNNNNGACCAAUUUAAUGGAUGAUGUCUAUUACAUACUAGUAGAAAAAUCUUUGUUUUUAAUCUACAAAGAUUAGCAACUUGAAUAGUGCAUGGUAGAAUUUGGGAAGCAAAUCAGUAGAAGUGAAAUGAAAAUGAAUAAGGGAAUAUAGUAAUAAUUGGUCACUUAAUAAUAUACCAACAUCUAGUCAUCAAUUAAUCUGUGAGUUGCAUUUUUAUCGUGACGAUUGAAGAAUGUGGUGGAGGCCAAAAUCACAAGGACUUUCCAUGCUUUUCACAUGGAUUUUGGUCAAAUUGUUGUCAUAAAUUAGGUACACCGGCCAUUAGUUACCGGCAACCAUAUUCUCUGAUUUCCUCCUAACAGCCUCCACUAAUCAUAUACAAAAAUGCUAUUCGAGGUACCUUAAUUUCUCUGCCUAGGUGAAGAAGAUACAGGCCUGUAAAAAAAAAAUUGUGAGCUUAGAUACAAGAUAGCUUACCAACUAACCAAAUGAUUAGGUUUAUGUCGUUAUGAGCUUCAAUUAAUGUUGAAUUUCUCUAGAACUUCACUUCCAUCAUGAUCAAAUUUUGGGCUGCCAAAGAGUUUCUAUCUUUUGAUGCUUGACUAAAUGAAUGAUUUAUGAUGGAUGAAUUUAUUUUAUUUUAAAAUUUGAUAAAAUUAACCUCUUUUUUGGCCAUGCUAUUGCUAUACAAAAAUAAUAAACCAAGGAAACUAGAUAUUGCUUCAUGAUUUUAUUGUAAUUUAUAAAUAGAAUUAGAAGCAUAUAGGAGCACAUUGAGUUGUUGAAUAUAUGAUGUCAUUUGAUUAGAAAUAAACAAUAACAAAUAUAUGUUCCUGAAUUUUUCAUUCAAAUGGAAUUUAUAUCCCUUUCCAAAGGUAGGAAAAGGGAAAAAAUCUUUACAAAUCUAAAUGAUGACUAUUGUACAAAAUGUCUCUAUGUCAGUCUCUAUUUCUGUUGUGGAUUUAUAGUCCAUUCAAGCGAGAAGUGAUAUGCAAGAAAGCAUCUUCUGUGCAAGGAAUUGUGAGGCCACCCAUCGGAUGAUCGUAUCCAAAUUCUUCCUCUACUUGACUCAGCAAGUCUUGAAAUGACGGUUGGUUCAAGUAAGACAUAGGGAUCACAAACCGCUUCAUUUUUUCUCCAAUAUAGACUGCAAGAUAUCCUUUUGGGACAUUCACAGCUUUUGAAGAAGCACGUCUAAUGGCAGGUAAAAGGAAACCCAUUUCAAAUGUUUUGAAGAAUAGGUCGAGUUUUUCAGAUGUAAGAAAAAAGUAUCUAAGUUGUAAAGGAGGAAAGUGUAUUUAUAGUUUCAAGAGCUUCUUGAAAUUCAUUUGCUAGAGAAAUUAUUGGACUCAUGAGACAAGAGACCACAUGGUGCUGUCUUAGAAGAGUGAAAACCACGGGCGGCCACACAAAUAUAAAGAGCUAUGCUCAUUCCAACUCAGUAUUUUUCAAACAUGCAUCAGACAUGGCACAUGUUCUCUUCAUAUUGAUAACACAACUUAAUGCUGAUGAAUGGUCACCUCAAAUAUUAUGAGAAAUAUCAGUCAUACAUUACUAACACGCUAUUUAUAAAUUGUUGUUUCUCUAGACCAUGUUCAUGUAGGGCCUAGUUGGAGAAAAUGAAGGCUACGGUUCACAACAGCUUCCAAGUAGAUUUCAUGGUUUAUUGAUUAAAUUUCAAUCAAUAAUAGGCACAAGUUGUCCUAUCCUAUUGAAUCAAGGACAAAAUACUUGAUAAGUAUGUUNNNNNNNNNNNNNNNNNNNNNNNNNNNNNNNNNUCUUCAUUAAAAACCUCCAAGACAGUGCCAUGUGAUCAUUAAUGAGUCUUGUCUCCAACGAAACCCCAUUGGUUUCCAAAGUCUAUAUAUACACUCAUCAUUGGGUUUAUAAGCAACACAAAUCAUUCUUACCAGAAUUCAAGCUCAAUUUUUUUCUUCUAUUACUUCUUUGAGAUCAUUUGGUGUGUGUAGAAACAAAACAAUAAUGGGUUUUCGCUUACCUGGUAUUAGACGAUCAUCAUCUAGCAAACAAAUGGAAGUGCCAAAAGGCUAUCUUGCAGUGUAUGUUGGAGAGAAAAUGAAGAGGUUCUUGAUUCCAGUAUCAUUCUUGAAUGAGCCUUUAUUUCAAGAAUUGCUAAGCCAAUCUGAAGAGGAAUUCGGUUACAGUCAUCCAAUGGGUGGUCUUACAAUUCCCUGCAAUGAAGAUGUCUUCUUACAUACAGCUUCUCGCUUGAACAACUUGUAACUUGUUCAUACUGCAAAAUAGUCAAAUGAAUUAUAACAUAAGCAUAGCACAGUAGGAUAGACUAGUUGAGACAACUUUUGUACAUGAGGAAUUUCUUUCUCAAUUUUGCUGUUCCUUCUUAAGUGGGAAUUUGAAAUGAGAAUUUAUCAAACUCUAUUCUUCUGAAUUCAUCUGUUGUUUUUGUGUCAUCUAAAAUACUUUCAUUGCAGAAACACAAGCUAUGUACUAAUUUUACGGAUACUGUCUAUUACAUACUAGUAGGUACAUGGUAAUGCAAAAUUGAUGCAAAAUUGGUAUGUGUUACGAGUUCAUAGAACAAAACUCUAAACAAAUAAAUUUUUAAACCAAAACCUUUCUUAUCCUAUAAAGAUUUUCAACUUGAUUGGAACAUAUCACAUAAUAAAACUUCUUAUCAAUUAAUUAUUAAGUUGGAUUUUUCUGGUAAUAAGACGUCAAAGUUGAAGUCCUAAAACACAAAAUUAUCGUCAAGGCACCUUUUAAUACAUUGCCGCCUCAACUAUUCAUGAAAGUGUAUGUUAGCUGAGAGUCGAAACUAAGCCAAAAAAAGUUGUUAAAAGUCAUCUCAAUUCUGUAAAUCUAUAGAAACUCAUCCAAACUAGGCCGUACUGUCUUGCCUACUUAUGUAUGUUUAUCAAUUUUAAAUGGAGAGCUUUGACUUGUCUGAUACUUGGGCAGUAAGUCAUCAACUGUAUGAUAGUUUGGCUCUGAUACUUGAGCAAUAGUCCUCUUUAUAGUCAUGCCAAAGCAGUUGUUUUUAUACUUUCUUUAAAAGACUACAUUUAUCUAAAAUGGAAUAUACAGGAAUGUUGAAAUUAAGAAUUCAAUUUUCAGGAUACAUACAAUAUUUCUAUUACUUGUAGGUUCAAACAUGUACUGCUAUCUUCUGACUACUAACCAAUCCUUUGAUGAAGGUUCACUGUUGCCUCCUAACAUAAGUAUUUCAAACUCACUCCUUAAUUAAAUCAUAAUCACAUAACAUGAAGUGUACAGUAACUCAACAAAGGUGUCAACUCUACACUGUCGCUAGCUAUACAUUUUUGUCAAAAUAGCUGGACCCUUUGUUUUAUGUAUGUAUGAUUGUAUUGGCAUGGUUUGAGUGUGAGGGACAAAGUUUCUUAUUGGUUUUUAUCAUCCGAAACAUAACUCACUGAGAGGGAGUCUUUGCUUCUGCGAAGGAAGGUUGAGUGUGAGGGACUUAAUGCUUGAGUUAUGGAUAUCCAUAUUUUUUUAGACAUGCAUUAGACACGUCACAUGUUCUCUUCUCGAGAUAUAGCUCAAUCUCAAGAUAUAGAAACAAAAACUUCUCUUAGUGAUGAAUUUUAAGUCAAAUAAUAGCUACAAAUAUAAGAUAUACUGCCAUGAAUAAAAGACCAACUGAGAUGGCUGGACCCAGAGAGCUGGCAAUGGAAGACUUUUCAUAAUUGGGUCAAGAAGUGGUAAACCAGAACUCUAUUAUUUGAUUUGAUGGGUUUAGCUUCUGUUUUAGGCUCUAAUUAAUUGUGUGUCUAUAACAUUAAUACAUGCUUUGUGCAGACUCUAAAUCUGUUGGUAUAUAAGUUGGGGAAAUGAGAUGGAUGAGUCCAUGAAAUUUGGUUCCACAAUUGUAGCAGACAUUUACUAAAACAGCUAAAAGUAAAAAGUCUUCCUUAGAGUGAUUACACAUUUUUUUCCACAAUCCUAUAAUGAGUGCAAAUGGAGUAUAUCCUUUUUAUCAUUACACUUUUUCAUAGGUUGGGUUUGCGUAAGUUGAUGAUAUUUGGAGGAGCUUGUUAUUAUUUAUUAGGGUAAUUGCACUGCCUUGUUGAAGAAGCAAUUGAUAGAAGCACAAGGCAUGUAAAAAAUUGUGAGCUUAUAUACAAGAUAUAUAGCUUAUCAACUAUUAGAGUUUGGAUGAACGUUUUAUUAGGUCAGAGAAGUUUGCAGGAAUAUUCUAGCUCAAUUUUGUGCACAGCACAUACCCUACUAUCAUCAUUAUAAUAAACCAAGGAAAACUGGAUAUUGUAUAAUAAUUUAUUUCUCUUUUCCAAGGAAUCACUGGUUUUAUAAUUUAUAAAUAGAAUCAUAUAGGAGCAAAUUGAGUUGUUGAAAUAUAUUGUCAUUAUAAUUAGAAACAAAUAAUAACAUGAUUUGUUCCUGAAUUUGUCAUUCAGAUGGACAAUUCUAACCCAUUCCAAAGAUAGGAAAAGGCAAAAAAAAAACUUCACAAAUCUAAAUGAUGACUAUUGUACAAAAUUUUCCGGCUAAUCUAUGUUUCUCUGGUUACUGCUAAUCUAUGUUUCAGUGUAAGAUUUAGAGUCUAUUGAAGCCAGAAGUAAUAUGCAAGAAAAUUUCUUCUGUGCACGGAAUUGUGAGACCACCCAUUGAAUGAUCAUAUCCGGACUCUUCUUCUGCUUGACUCAGCAAGUUUUGAAAUGAAGGUUGGUUCAAGUAUGAGGUGGGGCCGUUUCAUUUCCUCUCCGACGUACACUGCAAGAUAGCCCUUUGGGACAUUGAAUACUUUUGAUGAGGUUUGGCUAUUGCUAAAUGAAGCCCGUCUAAUAGCUGCAGGUAAACGGAAACCCAUUUCAAAUGUUUUGAAGAACAAGCUGAAUUUCUCAGAUGUAAUGAAAAUGUAUCUAAGUUUGUUUUCU
rnacentral:lncRNA from 1 species